GAUGAACGCUGGCGGCGUGCCUAAUACAUGCAAGUCGAACGCAUAGCGAAAGGUGCUUGCACCUUUCAAGUGAGUGGCGAACGGGUGAGUAACACGUGGACAACCUGCCUCAAGGCUGGGGAUAACAUUUGGAACCAGAUGCUAAUACCGAAUAAAACUUAGUGUCGCAUGACACAAAGUUAAAAGGCGCUUCGGCGUCACCUAGAGAUGGAUCCGCGGUGCAUUAGUUAGUUGGUGGGGUAAAGGCCUACCAAGACAACGAUGCAUAGCCGAGUUGAGAGACUGAUCGGCCACAUUGGAACUGAGACACGGUCCAGACUCCUACGGGAGGCAGCAGUAGGGAAUCUUCCACAAUGGGCGAAAGCCUGAUGGAGCAACGCCGCGUGUGUGAUGAAGGCUUUCGGAUCGUAAAGCUCUGUUGUAAGGGAAGAACAACUGGGAUAGGAAAUGAGCUUAGUUUGACGGUACCAAACCAGAAAGCCACGGCUAACUACGUG
rnacentral:rRNA from 1 species